rnacentral:rRNA from 1 species
GCCAGCAGCCAUAUCACUCUGCAACUCACAACUGGCAAUCCACUGAAGCUAAGCUAAGCUAAGGUGUGAGCCUGGUCAGUACCUGGAUGGGAGACCUCCUGGGAAAAACUAAGGUUGCUGCUGGAA